rnacentral:rRNA from 1 species
AGAUUGAACGCUGGCGGCAGGCCUAACACAUGCAAGUCGAGCGGCAGCACGGGUACUUGUACCUGGUGGCGAGCGGCGGACGGGUGAGUAAUGCCUAGGAAUCUGCCUGGUAGUGGGGGAUAACGCUCGGAAACGGACGCUAAUACCGCAUACGUCCUACGGGAGAAAGCAGGGGACCUUCGGGCCUUGCGCUAUCAGAUGAGCCUAGGUCGGAUUAGCUAGUUGGUAGAGGUAAUGGC